GUCUUGGCUGUAAACGGUGCGCAUUUGCUGUAAACGGAAUCGACCCGUUUGUGGCGAAGCUAACGCGAUAAAUGCGCCGCCUGGGAAGUACGGUCGCAAGAUUAAACUCAAAGAAAUUGACGGGCCUGCACAAGCGGUGGAGUAUGUGGCUUAAUUCGAUGCAACGCGAAGAACCUUACCUGGCCUUGACAUGCAUGUGGUAGAACCAUGAAAGUGGGACGAUCCCGCAAGGGAAGCAUGCACAGGUGCUGCAUGGCUGUCGU
rnacentral:rRNA from 1 species